rnacentral:lncRNA from 1 species
GCGGCAGGGAUCGAGGGAGAGGUGGCGAUCUGGUGUCGCCGAUUUGGAAUCCAGGGGGGAAAAUUUCUGCGCGUUUGAUCGGUUGCAGAAUUUCUGCGCGUUUGAUCGGUUGCAGAGGAGAGGUGUUUGUGCCGUCGUAGAUUCGGGGGGGGGGGGCAUGACAUGAUGGGCUCGGGGGAGGCAGAUCCGGGGAGUGAGAUAGGUUCCGGCGAGGAGGUGCCGUUGGCGUCGCUGGUUCCCUGCUCGAUCUGCUUGGAGCCGGUGAAGGACGGUGGCGAACGGUCCACGGCGAAGCUGCAAUGUGGGCAUCGAUUUCAUCUAGGUCAGUUCCCGACGAUGGCUUAAUAUUUUAAGAAUUUUCAUUUUGUGUGUCUUCUGUUUCUAUGCUUGAGUUCUCCUGCAUUAGGUGAAAGGGACGGGCUUCCUUUCUGUUGUUUAUGUGGCGAUAAUCUUCAUUUAGAAGUUCUGUGGAUCAUCGGUAGAUUUUUCUUUGAGAGUUAAAUACUGCUAGAAAAAGCGUAGGGGCUCUUGUGAACCGGAAAGUUUUAGGAGUUCAGUUUCCAAAUUUUCAGAGAUAGGACAUUAAUUUAGGUUAAUGUCGUGAAUUAAACCACAGAUAUUUGCUGUUUUUCUUGUAAAAUUAAAACUUCCGGUGACUCUUGGUUUUCGGACAAAGAAUUCAGUUUUAGAGGAACCGUGUUUGUAGCCUUGGAUGCAGAAGUAUUGUUGUCUGUGUGAUGAUCAUAUACAUUGUUGCACUCGUCUGGCCUUCGAAAAGCGUUGUUUAUUUCUCUUGGUCGUCACUGUAAAUCAGAAGCGUUUAUUUAUAACGUCUAGGAUACAUGAAAGUGAUAAAAUAUCUGUGUUGCAGAACAUUGCACAAGAAAUUACGAAAAUGUCUGGGAAUAAGAGGGAAGAGGACAGAGCCUUGGAUUAGAUGGAUAGCCCUGGUUUCUGAACAGUACUUGGAUGUCACAUGAGGGUAAACGUGCUGCGGACUUUGAUUAAAUUCAAAUAAUAUCAAUAAACUUGUUAUCUUCGUAGACUGAAAAGAGCAAUGAUUGAUUCAUUGCCAAGCAAAGCAGCAUAUUCAAAUUCCAUAUUCCCUUUUCGGCUUAAAGAAAACUUGUCUUUAAUUACGUAGAUAUCUAUUAAGAUACAACUCAAAGGUAAGUGAAUCACAUACCUUAGGGCUGUUAGCCAAUAGUUCCUGUAGGGCGUCCAGCCCUAGGGGAGAUAAUACCCUGAUUACCCUAGAUCUCGAUAGGAAUCCACUGCCUGAGCGCUCUGGCCGAAUGCAGCCCCCUCGCUCUCCCGCUUCUUCCUUCCAAAUUCUAGAAUGCCCCCUAAGGAACCCUAGGCUCCUUAUUUAUACUUCCCACCUUCACGGUGGGCAUUAGUUGUUCCCUUACUUUCCUUUCUCCCCCCCCUUCUGAGGUGGAGCUUCCUUUGCUAUUUUUGGGUGUUUCUGUCUUUUAGCUGUUUUCUCUCAUAUUUCCGCAUCGGUAUCAUAACAUGACCCCCCCCAUCCACAACCACCUUGUCCCCAAGGUGGAAUUCCAAAAACUGUUGUCGAAUGAUUGAGAGAGGUUCCCAAGAGGAAUCGGUGAUGGGGAGGCCUUUCCACUAGAUGCAUAUUUCAAUAGUGCCUGAUCUCUCCCGGGCAUUUAAGACUUUCUCUGGAAUAAGCUGCCACUCCAGCUGAUCCGACAAGAGAGAGGGGAUCGGUGUAGCUUGUUCACUGUCACCAAGAGCUUUCUUUAGUUGCGACACAUGGAAAACCGGGUGUAAAUAGCACUCAGGUGGAAGGUCCAGACUGUAUGCAACAGUGCCCACCUUCUUCAAGAUCGUGUAGGGGCCAAAAAAUUUUGGUGAUAAUUUUUCAUUGAUUCGUUUUGCUAACAAUCGCAUCCGAUAGGGUCUCAGCCUUAAAUAUACCUUGUCACCUUCUGCAAAUUGUAGGUCUCUUCGAUGUUUGUCAGCUUGAGCUUUCAUACGAGAUUGUGCUUGUGAUAGUUUCUAUUUGAGAGUAGUCAACAUAUGGUCUCUUUCUAGUAACAUACUGUCCACAAAGUCAAUAGGGGACGGUUGAGUACCAUAGAACAAUAACUUGGGUGGAUCACAACCAUACACCACAUUAAAGGGGGUAGUUUUAAGAGCAGAAUGAUAUGUUGUGUUGUAAGAGUACUCAGCCCAAUGUAGCCAUUUGGACCACCUUUUAGGUAUCUCUAAUGUAUAGCAACGAAGAUAACCUUCAAGACACCUAUUAAGUCUUUCUGUCUGUCCAUCAGUCUGCGGGUGAUAAGAGGAUCUCAUCCGCAACAGGGUGCCUUGUUGGGCUUGUAACUCAUUCUAAAAUAGAUUGGUGAAUAUUUUAUCACGAUCGGAAACAAUUGAUGUGAGAAUGCCAUGGAGUUUGACUAUUUCUUUGGUGAAUAGUUCUGUUACUCUUGGAGCUGUGAAGGGGUGUUUUAGAGGGAUGAUAUGUCCAUAUUUGCUGAGGAGAUCGACUACGACCAUAAUGCAAUCAAACCCAUUAGAUAGGGGUAGUCCUUCAAUAAAGUCCAUCGCAACCUCCUCCCAUAUACGCUCUAGAAUGGGUAACGGUUGGAGAAGUCCUGUUAGGGACAAUAUUGAUACCUUGUGAGUUUGGCAAGUGUGGCACUUGUCCACAUACCUCUUAACAUCUUUUUUCAUAUUCCUCCAAUAUAGGUCUUUAGUGAUGCGCUGAUAUGUGCGUAGGAAACCUGCAUGACCUCCUGCCUUUGAGUCAUGAUAAUCUCGUAAUAUUUGUUCAAGGAGAGAUGAAGACGGGGAGAGUACCAAUCUGCCAUUAUACAGCAAGGUGCCCUGAUGUAGUUUGAACUUAGGGUGACAAUUGGGAUCAUUGGAGAUCUCACUGAUGAUUUUUUGUAGUGGUGGGUCGUUCAGCAGCUCUUGCCAGAUGAGAUCAUGAUUUAAGCUGCUCAGCCUAGUGACCGUAAGAUUGCAUAAUUCUGUAGAGUAAGGAAUUCGUGAUAAAGCAUCAGCAACAAUAUUAUGUUUCCCUGGUUUAUACUCGAUCUCAAAGCUGUAACCAAGCAGUUUGUAGGCUAACUUGUUGUAAGGCUCUUGUACUUGUUGUUGCGACAAUAAAAACUUUAGGUUGUACUAAUCAGUCCGAAUGAUAAAGGGUUGGUGUAUCACAUAGUGUUUCCACUUUUGAACAGCUAAGACAAUGGCCAGUAACUCCCUUUCAUACGCUGAUUUUGCUUGACUUUUCUUUGGUAAACUUUGACUGAAAUAAGCAAUAGGACGACCUUUCUGAGUGAGGACUGCACCUACGCCUAUGCCUGAUACAUCUGUUUCGAUAAUGAAUUGGGACUUAAAGUCAGGUAGAGUCAAGACCGGUGUGGUGCUCAUGGCUAAUUUCAAUUUGUUAAACGUAGCUUGAGCUUGAUCUGACCAAGAGAAUGCAUCUUUUUUCAACAGGGCAGUAAGAGGAGCAGCAAUGUUAGCAUAAUUUUUUACAAAUCUGCAAUAAUAGCCCAUGAGCCCCAAAAAUCCUCGAAGAGCUUUCAAAUUUGUGGGAAUCGCCCAGCUUCUCAUGGCUUCCACCUUAACCUUGUCCGCCAUGACUCCCUCUUGAGAGAUCCAGUGGCCCAAAAAUUCUAGUUGUGUGCAGCCAAUAUGACAUUUUUUUGGAUUGACGAAUAAAGUAUGAGUCUUUAAGAUUGCAAACACACACUGUAGAUGUUUCUUAUGGUCUUCCCACGAGUGACUAUAGAUUAAAAUAUCGUCAAAGAAAACCAAGAGGGAAACCCGUAGAUAAGGUUUAAAAAUCUAAUUCAUCAAGGACUGAAAUGUAGCCGGAGCAUUCAUGAGACCGAAGGGCAUUACUCUGAACUCAUAGUGUCCUUCAUGAGUCUUGAAUGUAGUCUUAUGAAUGUCCUCUUCUUUCAUUCGUAUCUGAUGAUAACCUGAGCGCAGAUCCAAUUUGGAGAAAAUUGAAGAGCCAUGUAGUUCAUCUAACAAUUCUUUCACAACCGGAAUUAGGUAUCGAUUAGGUACAGUUACCUUGUUGAGUGCCCUGUAAUCCACACAAAAGCGCCAUCCACUAUCUUUCUUUCUCACCAGUAGAACCGGGCUUGCAAAUGGGUUGUGGGAAGGUCAGAUCAAUUAUGCAGUCAAUAAUUCUUUAACCAGCCGUUCAAUUUCAUCCUUUUGGACAUGUGAAUAUCAAUACGGACGUAGAUUAAUCACUUGAGAGUUCGGUAGUAAAUCGAUCGCGUGAUCCACUUCUCUGGUGGGCGGUAACUCUGACGGGGUUUCGAAGACCUUGGGGUACAAAGAUUGCAUUUCUUCUGUGAGAGUAACACCUUCUUGGCCAUCUGCGUGCAAUACUACACAGUCCAUACGAUAUAAUUCUAGUUUUAGCAGUUUCUUUUGUUUAAUUGCUUUGCCCACUUCCUUGUCAGACAUUUUUGAUCUGGACAGCUGUUCAUCCCCUUUAAGCUUUAUAAUCUUUUCAUCUUGUUUGAACUUCAAUAUGAGAUCCUUCCAGUGAAUAUGCGUCCAACCUAAUGACGUGAGCCAAGCCAUUCCAAGGAUUAACCCUAUGUCGCCUAGUUGAAAUGGUAGGAAAUCUGCUUGUAGAUCGACUCCUUGUAUGGAAAAAGGUACAUUCAUGCAAAUUCCUUGGCCUUUUGAAGUUUCGUUGUUACCCAAUAAUACUGAAUAUCUGAGAGAAGUAUCCACUAUGAAAGGGUCUGAAUCCAGUAGGUUUGAGCAGGUGAAAUUAUGCGACGCCCCGCUGUCUAUCAAAAUUGUAACAUAAUGGCCGUAUAUUUGGCCUUUCAUCUUCAUCGAAUUUGGGCUUAUGCAGCCUAAUAUCGAUUGUAAGGAAACAUGAGCUGUUAGUAAUUUACCGUCAACAGCUGAAUCUUCUAUCUCCCCCCAAUCGGUCUCCACCGUGGUCUCUUGGUCACCAUCUUCUUUUUCCUCAUCCACUAUAAUAAUCUGUAAUGACUGCUUACAUCUAUGGCCAGGACCGAACUUCUCAUUACAGCGGUAGUACAAUCCCUUCUCUUUUCGCAGGAGGAAUUCAUCAGCUGUUAAUGAGAGUUUCUUGUGGUUGCUUUGAUGAUCAGUUUGCCCACUUUUAUGCUUCAGUCUAUAAUCCACUUGCCCAUGAUUAGAAUUUUUCUUGUAGGUGUAAUCGGAUGACCUGGAUGAAUCCACAGGUGGUCUCUCACUUUUUUGCCAUGUCUCAUCAUAAGCUUUCCAUACCGCCAAUAUGUUCCUUUCUGUGGAGAUAGCUGCGUCCAUCAACUCUGUCAAACCGUGUAAUUUUUUUUCUGCUAGUUUUGCUUGGAUUUCUGACUUAAGUCCUCUCACAAAAAUUUCUUCUAUGAUAUCUUCAGGCAUAGGAGGCAGGUAUACUGAUAGUCGUUCAUAUUCGUUACGAUAGUCUUUCACUGACCCUGUCUGCUUAAUAUCAAAGAAUUGGUAAAGGAUGUUAUCUGAGAGAUCUUCCCCGAAGUGUUUCCCCAUGCGUAUCUUAAAAUCAUGCUAAUCUUGAAAAGAGUAACGAUCUUCCAUCCAUAUAAACCAUUGGAGGGCUGGACCCUCCAGACAUUGGAUGAUCUUAUCCAAUUUUACCUUUUCAAGAGUAAUCUUGUGAACCUUGAAAUAUUUUUGCAUCCCUCUAAGCCAGCCUUCAAUGUCUUCGCCCCUGAAGAUGGGGGCUUCUAGCUUGCUGACCAUGGAGGAGUUAUAUUUCUCUGGACUGAAUGAUUCUGGUAACUGUGCAUUGCUUGAACCACCUUCUGUGAUCUUUUUCUUGCCUUUAAUAUCUCCUGUUGAAUGUAGGGCGGAAAUUUGCGUGGAUAAGGCGUCAUACAUUUUUUCCAUGCGAUCUUGAUUUACUUCUCCUGAUUUUAAAAUCGCUGCUUCAAUGCUUGAUUCGAAAGUCUUCAUUCCCUUCUUGAUUUCUGCAAUCUCUUCUUCCAUUGCUCCCAUCCGUACCUCAAGCUCUUUGAUCGUCAUUGUUGAUGCCAGAACCGGAGGCUAUGAUACCAAAUGUUAAGAUACAACUCAAAGGUAAGUGAAUCACGUACCUUAGGGCUGUUAGCCAAUAGUUCCCGUAGGGCGUCCAGCCCUGGGGGAGAUAAUAUCCUGGUUACCCUAGAUCUCGAUAGGAAUCCACUGCCUGAGCGCUCAGGCCGAAUGCAGCCCCCUCGCUCUCCCGCUUCUUCCUUCCGAAUUCCAGAAUGCCCCCUAAGG